UACGUAGGUGGCAAGCGUUGUCCGGAUUUACUGGGCGUAAAGAGCGCGCAGGCGGUCGAUCAAGUCGCGUGUGAAAGCCCCCGGCUCAACUGGGGAGGGUCACGCGAUACUGAUCGACUCGAAGGCAGGAGAGGGUAGUGGAAUUCCUGGUGUAGCGGUGAAAUGCGUAGAGAUCAGGAAGAACACCGGUGGCGAAGGCGCUCUGCUAGGCCGUAACUGACACUGAGGGACGAAAGCUAGGGGAGCGAAUGGG
rnacentral:rRNA from 1 species